UACGAAGGGGGCUAGCGUUGCUCGGAAUCACUGGGCGUAAAGGGUGCGUAGGCGGGUCUUUAAGUCAGGGGUGAAAUCCUGGAGCUCAACUCCAGAACUGCCUUUGAUACUGGAGAGCUAGAGUCCGGAAGAGGUGAGUGGAACUGCGAGUGUAGAGGUGAAAUUCGUAGAUAUUCGCAAGAACACCAGUGGCGAAGGCGGCUCACUGGUCCGGUACUGACGCUGAGGUGCGAAAGCGUUGGGAGCAAACAGG
rnacentral:rRNA from 1 species